rnacentral:rRNA from 1 species
UACGUAGGGUGCGAGCGUUAAUCGGAAUUACUGGGCGUAAAGCGUGCGCAGGCGGUUUUGUAAGCCAGAUGUGAAAUCCCCGGGCUUAACCUGGGAAUGGCAUUUGGGACUGCAAGGCUUGAGUGCGGCAGAGGAGACUGGAAUUCCUGGUGUAGCAGUGAAAUGCGUAGAUAUCAGGAGGAAUACCGAUGGCGAAGGCAGGUCUCUGGGCUGACACUGACGCUCAUGCACGAAGCGUGGGAGCAACAGG